rnacentral:lncRNA from 1 species
CAUGAUAACAACCAGUUGUGCCAGCACCAAUUGUUGAAAAUGCUGUCUUUCUUCCACUGGAUGUUGUUGCACCAUUCUUGUAAGCCCUUGAGAGCAGGGCCUUCCAGACUUGAGUUUUGUUUUGCUGUUCAAAUAUCCAAGAUGCCACAUAAUCCUCUGUGCAGAAUGCUCAACAACUAUUUCUCAGUUUGAUUUUCAAGAAAUAAAUUUUGUAUGGUGGGUUUGUCCCAAUUCUUUGCUUUGAGCCCACAUGCCACUGAGCCAUUGGUUAAGGAAUUCUAAGUGGAAAUGGUUGGACUGAACACAACGUGCUUUGUUACUGCAGAUACAUGACCUACCCUUGGAGAGUGAUUUAGAGGUAUAGGUGCUGCACAUUGUUCCUGAGAGCCCCUACAGUCUAAAUUACACACACCGACCACCAAGAAGUCCAAUCAAGCAGGUGAUUUUUAUUGUUAUAGAAUAAUAUGUGGCAUAAUUAGCAUGUGCAAAUGAUAGUAAUUCCUGAUGCUUCUAGUGCUCUCUAUUUAAGAGAACACAUCCACAUCUAUUAACUCAUUUGAUCCUAACACAUUUGCAAAUUUGGGAUUGGCAGAUAUUAUUAUAAUCCUUAUUCCCUGGGCAUGGGAAUCUAUUGCACGAACAAAUGGAGCGUUGUUCCUUCUGGCCCCUGGAGGAUAAACUAAUCUGUAGCUAGCACAGCUUCAAUAAGAGCAAAGCUGAACAGCUCCACUCCAUGGGAGGAUGCCACAGAUGUUGCUUUCCCUUGACCUGACUACAGUCACCAUCGUCCUUAAGAGAUCAGAGCUGGGGCUGCAUCUGGAGAAUGUCGGUGACACCUUCAUUGCAAGGGGCAGGGUAGGUGCCCAUGGAAGGACAAUCAUUUUUAACAGUGGGGAGCCAUUUGAUUUAUAACUGGUGAUAAAUAUAUGGCCACGGGGUAUGGCCUGGAAGGUCCCUUGAGUACUGUGAUCUCAGCUCUAAGUUGUGUUUUUUUUUUUUUUUCUUAACAUUUCAGGAAGCGCUUGCUGUGUGUAAGCUUUAUGUUAGGUGCUUAUAUUUAACAGUUUGUUCCUCACAACUAUGCUCUGAGAUUGGUGGGCCUGUCAUCCUCAUCCUAAAGUUGGGGAAACUGAGGCAGACAAGAGUGGAGGAGCUUGCUUAGAGUGAGUGGUAGAAGCAGAGCUCAGCAUGGUAACCCAGGACCUGGGCACUCUGCUCACAAUCUCUCUUCCAGGUGUGUCACCUGGAUGUCCACUCAUUGCAGAACAGGAGUGCUUGCCUGGAUAAUUAGGCAGUUAAAUCGCAACUUAGCCAAGAUUUUGAGAUAGAGAAAAUUGGAAUUUCCCAAGGAAAUCUGGAGACUUUUAAUUUGAAAAAUCUAAGAAAGCCAGAGCUCACUAAGUAAUCCAAGUCCAGGCAAUGCUGGGCUAGGAGGUUCUGGUGCCUUCUGGGAAGAAAUCACGUGCCUCUCAACAGCCUUCCCAGGGACUGAAGCUAAGAGUGGGCUCAGAAUACUGAGCAGGCCUCUCUGCGAAGCCUGCGACUUAGGGUCGGUCCUUCAUCUACUCUUAAUUAUGCAUUUGUCAGCCUCUAGAAUUAUAGACAUCCUUGACAGUGUUUCCUAAUAUUUUCUCUUCCUGGUAUGAGGAGUGCUGAGGUGAGAGGCAGCUGAAUUAUUCAUCAGUUCUGUUUAUAGACCGUUGGUAUUCAGCAAGGCACAGACAAAAACUUAGAAAGAUCAAUAUGUCCAGAGACUCAGUAUAUGGAAAGGCCACAUGUCGGACGGCACUUCUAGUUUGCUGCCUGUGUUUUCAGAAGUGACAACUGAAUUAACAGCAGCAACAACAAAACAAAACAAAACAGAAUAGAAUAGAAUAGAAUAUGCCAUUUACAUGUAGUAGUUGAUUUUACUAUAAUCCACGCACUUGGUAAAAACCAACCAAGCUGGUUAUAAAUGUCACAAGCAAAGUCCUAAACUAUAACUUCUUGUUUGUUCUAAGUUUGGCUAAUUAUUAGUUUCCUAAGACUUCUGUUUGGUGAUAUGGGUGUAAAAAUAAAUAUGUUAGUGGAACUUGACUUUUUAAUAAAAUGCUUAAUGUCUUAAAUAGAAGCAUGUCUCAUUUACUUAUUGUAGUAGAAUAAACCAUCACCAAAAAGAAU